GUUUGUUUGAAAGAAGAGAAGGUUAGCACUCUGCUUGAGAAGGAUGGAAGAGGUCCCAGUGGCCUUUACGACGCAUAUAUGGUUAAGGCAUUGCCACCUUCUUCGUGGCGUCUAAUCAAGUUUCAGU